rnacentral:tRNA from 1 species
GUAUAAAAAGCGAGAAUUUUGCAUUCGGUUUCGGCCCGUAGUUUAAGGGUGUGAGUCCCUUUUUAUAUU